UACGGGGGGGGCAAGCGUUGUUCGGAAUUACUGGGCGUAAAGGGCUCGUAGGCGGCCAACUAAGUCAGACGUGAAAUCCCUCGGCUUAACCGGGGAACUGCGUCUGAUACUGGAUGGCUUGAGAUUGGGAGAGGGAUGCGGAAUUCCAGGUGUAGCGGUGAAAUGCGUAGAUAUCUGGAGGAACACCAAUGGCGAAGGCAGCUCGCUGGGACGUGACUGACGCUGAGACGCGAAAGCGUGGGGAGCAAACAGG
rnacentral:rRNA from 1 species